rnacentral:rRNA from 1 species
GGCUUAGAGUUUGAUCAUGGCUCAGGAUGAACGCUAGCUACAGGCUUAACACAUGCAAGUCGAGGGGCAGCAUGGUCUUAGCUUGCUAAGGCCGAUGGCGACCGGCGCACGGGUGAGUAACACGUAUCCAACCUGCCGUCUACUCUUGGACAGCCUUCUGAAAGGAAGAUUAAUACAAGAUGGCAUCAUGAGUCCGCAUGUUCACAUGAUUAAAGGUAUUCCGGUAGACGAUGGGGAUGCGUUCCAUUAGAUAGUAGGCGGGGUAACGGCCCACCUAGUCUUCGAUGGAUAGGGGUUCUGAGAGGAAGGUCCCCCACAUUGGAACUGAGACACGGUCCAAACUCCUACGGGAGGCAGCAGUGAGGAAUAUUGGUCAAUGGACGAGAGUCUGAACCAGCCAAGUAGCGUGAAGGAUGACUGCCCUAUGGGUUGUAAACUUCUUUUAUACGGGAAUAAAGUGAGGCACGUGUGCCUUUUUGUAUGUACCGUAUGAAUAAGGAUCGGCUAACUCCGUGCCAGCAGCCGCGGUAAUACGGAGGAUCCGAGCGUUAUCCGGAUUUAUUGGGUUUAAAGGGAGCGUAGGCGGACGCUUAAGUCAGUUGUGAAAGUUUGCGGCUCAACCGUAAAAUUGCAGUUGAUACUGGGUGUCUUGAGUACAGUAGAGGCAGGCGGAAUUCGUGGUGUAGCGGUGAAAUGCUUAGAUAUCACGAAGAACUCCGAUUGCGAAGGCAGCUUGCUGGACUGUAACUGACGCUGAUGCUCGAAAGUGUGGGUAUCAAACAGGAUUAGAUACCCUGGUAGUCCACACAGUAAACGAUGAAUACUCGCUGUUUGCGAUAUACAGUAAGCGGCCAAGCGAAAGCGUUAAGUAUU